AUUUUCGUCUGUUCCUUUUAUUUCGCAUUUACGCUUGUAUUAUGAUGAAAUACGGCCUUUUUGAAUUCUUUGAGGAAGAUGCCGUCGGAGUAGGCGAAGUGGAUUGUUGGCCACGAAGAGAUUGGAAGUAAAACAGAGAUGAUCUUCCAAACUUGCACCACACUGCAAAUAAAUAUGCAAAGAACACAAAUGUAUGUUUGCAGUCACCAAACCAGAAGGGUGAGAGUGAAAAACUCAAGGUUUGACUCGUCCUCAGAAGAUGACCGUCCACUAUUGCAGAUUAAGAAGAAAAAGAAUGUGGUUUCAAAGAACAAUGAUGAAGAGCUGGCAAGAGCUAUAUAGAAGGAAAUGAAAGAGAAGACCACAACGGCUUCACAAGAAGGAAGAAUGUAUUUUGAG